GAUGAAGAACGUAGCGAAAUGCGAUAAGUAAUGUGAAUUGCAGAAUUCAGUGAAUCAUCGAAUCUUUGAACGCACAUUGCGCCCGCUGGUAUUCCGGCGGGCAUGCCUGUUCGAGCGUCAUUUCAACCCUCAAGCACAGCUUGGUGUUGGGACUCGCGUUAAUUCGCGUUCCUCAAAUUGAUUGGCGGUCACGUCGAGCUUCCAUAGCGUAGUAGUAAAACCCUCGUUACUGGUAAUCGUCGCGGCCACGCCGUUAAACCCCAACUUCUGAAUGUUGACCUCGGAUCAGGUAGGAAUACCCGCUGAACUUAAGCAUAUCAAUAAGCGGAGGA
rnacentral:misc_RNA from 1 species